rnacentral:rRNA from 1 species
AACGAACGCUGGCGGCGUGGAUAAGACAUGCAAGUCGAACGGGAUGUCUUUGUAGCAAUACGGAGACAUCUAGUGGCAAACGGGUGAGUAACACGUGAGAACCUACCCCUGAGAGGAGCAUAGCCAGUCGAAAGAUUGGGUAAUUCUCCAUAAUCCCGAGAGGGCAAAGUCGCAAGACGCUCAGGGAGGGGCUCGCGCCCUAUCAGCUAGUUGGUAGGGUAACGGCCUACCAAGGCGAUGACGGGUAGCUGGUCUGAGAGGACGACCAGCCACACUGGAACUGAGACACGGUCCAGACACCUACGGGUGGCAGCAGUCGAGAAUCUUCCACAAUGGACGAAAGUCUGAUGGAGCGACGCCGCGUGGAGGAUGACGGUCUUCGGAUCGUAAACUCCUGUCGCCGCAGAGCAAGGCAGCGCAAGCUGCUUGAGAUUAUGCGGAGAGGAAGGGACGGCNAACUCUGUGCCAGCAGCCGCGGUAAUACAGAGGUCCCAAGCGUUGNUCGGAUUCACUGGGGCGUAAAGGGUGUGUAGGAGGUUAGGUAAGUCUAGNGUGGAAAUCCCGACNCUCAACGUCAGAACUGCGUUAGAUAC